rnacentral:lncRNA from 1 species
CAAGAAGAAGAUCAAAAGAAGGUGGAAGAGGAAGAAGAUCGAAGAAGAAGGAGAAGGUCCGAGAAGAAGAAGAUCGAAGAAGCAGAGGUAAGUGCAGAGAAAAACUUAAUAUGUGUUAUGUUUUCUGUAUUAUAUGUUUGUUACCAUUUACAUCAAAGAGAGAACUUUAUUUAUAGAGUUCUCUGGGGAUGGGGGGAGAACAUAAAAAGGGAAAUAGAAAAUAAUGGGAAAUCCUAACAGAACAUGUGUGAUUACUGUAAAUAAACAGAUCCACUAAGUAACUAACUCUAAUAAGAGGACACAAUGUAUAUAUGCAUUGAAUGGCCAUUUAUUAGUUAAAAAUAUCCAACUUUAUGAAGGAAUUGAAGUCUUUCUUUAUUGGGUCAGAUGUUGAUACAAGCUCAAGCUG